rnacentral:rRNA from 1 species
AUGGAGAAGCCGGAGAUGCAUUCCUUGUACAGCGAUUAUGCACAUAUAUUUGACAUGUCAGCAGAGAAUGCAAGACUGGGCUGCUACAUCGCUCCCAAGAUUGGGCACCUGCCUGUCUUGUUGAAACGCUAUGUCCUCCUUACUGGAAGCGCAAUUUUGACCAUUAUCAUCCGCUACAGAGCUCUGCUGGAUAGAUGGAUACUGCAAAAAUGCGCAAUCUCCCACUCCCAGGGUGCACCUGUUCAGUCCACCAUGAUGUUGCGAUCCUGUUGGCAAUGUAGAUCCUUGCCUUUGUUUCUUGGCAUUGGUGUUCUGAUGGCAAGGCUCUGUAGCUACAUAACCAUUCAGAGUCAUAACAAUAAUCGGCAAGUCAUCCGCGGCAUUGAAGCUAACCUUGAGGGCGAUUCGAUCAUUAAGAGUAACGAGUUGUGCAAUCAGCAGUCCGUCCUGCCAAGUUUGCUUGGCAGCAAGCACGAGUAUCUCCGUUUGCUGCUUCAUUUUAUUUGUAGCACCGCCAUUUUUAAGGGGCAUACAGCGCCAAAGGUGGUCAGCUUCAAGGGGAGGAGCAUACAGAAGAACUAUGAUAUCAGUGCACUUUGGAGUAUCGUUGCAAAAAAUGGACAAUAUCUUACUUUUAUUGGAGCAUUGGUGACUCUGCAGAUAUUUCUACAGAUGAACAGAGUGAACACUACCACUUCACUCCUGCCAAUGCUGAUUCAGGCAACAAGUUCCAGGAGCAAAGCUGCGGUUUUCAGCAAGAUGGUGAUAAUUCUGGUGAACUCAUGCGGCAUUCUUGGAUCCGCCUUCACGACAAAAAAUCACGGUCGUGCGGCAACGCUAACCGUCAGCAUUGUUCUAAUGGUAUUUUGCCAGAUGGCGAUUCCAUUGAUUGUUGAGUUCCACAUCGGGUUCGGCGGCGGAAGCCGAAUGCUGAGAGGGUACACCGCUGCCAUGUUCUUGCUCACCUGCGUCGUCUCCUGCGGCCUCAGUUGGUCAUGGGGCUCCAUGUUCUGGACCUUUCCCGGCAAGAAGGUCCACUCGGCCGGUCAGCUGUUGGGCAUGGCUCUGAAUUUGGCCCUCUGCUACGGCCAGAUGCAGUUCUUCCUGAUGAUGCUGUGGCGGCUGAAGAACGCCAUCCUUGCCUACUAUGCCAUGUGGAUUUGGUCGUGA